UUUGCUUCUCGGCCUUUUGGAUAAGAUCAAGUGUAGUAUCUCUUCUUAUCAGUUUAAUAAUCUUUUUUAAAUAAACAUUGCAAACAUGAGUUUGGGACUAUUUUAAAACCUCACUGGAAUUCCAGUAUACUAAGGUUUAGCAAUA
rnacentral:snRNA from 1 species